CAGAAGUAGAGAGCACACAAGGAUGAGACAUUGGAAGCCUUUGCAAGAAGGUGAUAUACUCAAUGUUGAUAUAACAGUCUAUCUUAAUGGCUAUCUCGGCGAUUGCUCAUGUUUCAAGUUGGCGAGGAAGCUAUUCAACUUCUGUAUAAAGUAAUGCAAGUUCUUUUUUACAGAGACGCAAGAUCUUUCCCAAAGGUACAUUAACAAAAUUCCUAUGUAUAUAUCUUACAGACCAAUAAUUUCAACUACAUUGUUAACAAUCUGCUUGCCCUGCUUUUCAGUAUCAUCUUGCCAUUAUCACGAAAGAAAAA
rnacentral:lncRNA from 13 species